UAGGGAAUCUUCCGCAAUGGACGCAAGUCUGACGGAGCAACGCCGCGUGAGUGAAGAAGGAUUUCGGUUCGUAAAACUCUGUUGUUAGAGAAGAACAGCGCAUAGAGUAACUGUUAUGCGUGUGACGGUAUCUAACCAGAAAGGGACGGCUAACUACGUGCCAGCAGCCGCGGUAAUACGUAGGUCCCGAGCGUUGUCCGGAUUUAUUGGGCGUAAAGCGAGCGCAGGCGGUUAGAAAAGUCUGAAGUGAAAGGCAGUGGCUCAACCAUUGUAGGCUUUGGAAACUGUUUAACUUGAGUGCAGAAGGGGAGAGUGGAAUUCCAUGUGUAGCGGUGAAAUGCGUAGAUAUAUGGAGGAACACCGGUGGCGAAAGCGGCUCUCUGGUCUGUAACUGACGCUGAGGCUCGAAAGCGUGGGGAGCGAACAGG
rnacentral:rRNA from 1 species